UUUUUUUUUUUUUUUUUGCAGCGCCCCGUGGUGCACCUAUUCCUGCUCCAGGUAUAGAUAUAUUCAUAAAUCCUUUGAAAAUAUAAACCAUCAAUACAAACUGAAUUCUAUUUGCUUAUUAGUUUAUUUAUUCGUUUGACAGGUCCAGUCUCUCUAGCACCCAAACUCUCCCCUGGAGCUUCACCAUCUUUAAGCCCCCAAAGUCCCAUUGUGCCGGAACCGACACCAUCUGCCGAGGUGCCUGAUUCCGGCACCACACCGGCUCUAACUCCACCAUCGUCCACAGCAGGUUCGGGAGCCCCGACGGCCGCAACGGGGAGCCGCCCUGUUCUCACCCCAUCAGCUGCCAACCCCGCUUACAGUUUCUCACCAUUCCUUUUGGUGUUCACAUUGGGAUUUGUGAUUUUCAAGUACUAAUUAUAUAAUAUGUAUUGAUUGAUUUGUUUGGCGAGCGGUAUUCUUUUAGUGGCUUGAACUGAAAACCAUUGUUUUGCCUUUUAAGAGCUAAUAUUGGGUGACUUUACAUUUUAUAUAAAAUAUACAUAUUAGUGUAAUUUUUAUUUAUUGAGUAAUAAUUUUUUUUUAUUUCUGCAAUGAUUAUUUUUUAGGGUAAACUACACAUAUAGUCACUUUUGUUUACUUUAGGUUACAUUUUGGUUACUUAUGUUUAAAAUAUUACGUUUUAGUCACUUACGUUAUCGUGUUGUAACAUUUUAAUCACUGAGCCGUUAAUUUCCGUUAACGGUGUGACGGUAAGCUGACGUGGCACGUUAAAUCAUCAUUUCAAACAAAAAUUUUAGGUUAAAUUAUACAACUGAUCCCCAUAUUUUUUUUGGGCAAUUUAAUUUUUUUCUUUUAUAUUCUUUAAACCUUACUCUCUCUUUUUCUCUUUAUUUUCCAUUAUCUUCUGUUUCUCCUUCUAUUUUCCUACCUUUUCCAUGUCUUUUAACAUAUUAAGAAGUCGAAUUGGCAGUGAAGAAAGAAGUAGGAAGCCGAAAGCCAUCAUUGCCUAUAAUCAAAACCCAUAAACCCGUACCAUGAUUCUUUCUUCACUGCCAAUUUGACUUCCUGAUAUGUUAAAAGAAAUGGAGAAGGUAGGAAAACAGAGGGGGAAGCAGAAGAAAAUGGAAAAUAAAGAAAAAAAGAAAGUUAAAAGAACAUAAAAGAAAAACUUAAAUUGCUCAAAAUGACAAAAAUAUGGGGACCAAUUGUAUAAUUUAACCUAAAAUUUUUGUUUGAGAUGAUAAUUUAACGUGUCACGUCAGCUUACCGUUACAAUGUCAAUGGCAAUUAAUGGCUCAAUGACUAAAAUGUUACAACAUGAAAACGUAAGUGACAAAAAUGUAACAUUUCAAACAUAAGUGACUAAAAUGUAACCUGAGAUAAACAAAAGUGACCAUAGAUAUAGUUUACCCUAUUUUUUAUUGGUUAAUUUGAUGUGAAAAAUGGGAAAAGAUCAUAAAUUAUUGGUACAUUACUGAUCUUCUAUUAUUAGCAAAUUAAGUUGUUUAUUAAUUCCAUUUGAGUAAUUCUCAAGGAAUUCAAUAUGAGAUCCCAGAGGUUUUUUUUUUAUCAUGUUAUUUUUAAGUUUUUUAGAAUCAAGAUUAAAUAGAUAGAAUGCAUAAAUUUAAGGGUUAAAUUUGUUGAAUUUUUAGAAUUAGGACCAAUUUGAUAGAAUUUGUAAACAUUGUAGGGUUAAAUUUGUUGAUUUUUUUAGAAUUAAGACCAAAUUGAUAGAAUCUGUAAUUAUUGUAGAGCUAAAUUUGUUAUUAUGUAAAUAAAAUAGAUCACGUCAGCAUCCAAAUAAUAAUUUAACAAAGGAGUGAUCAAAAUAUUAAAUGUCAAUAAUGUUAAUGACUAAAUCUGAAAUUUUUGGAGAUGGGUGACCAAAACAUAAAUAUGCUAAUAGUUGGGUGAUUGCGAGUGUGGUUUACCCUAAGAUUAACAGUAAUAAGAGGAUCAGAUUGUGAUAAAUUAAAGUAUAGAGACUAAAUAUCCAAAUUGAGUAUACAAUAAGGAUGUAACCGCAAUUUAACCUAAUUAACUAAAAUGAUUUAUUAGGCCCCUCACUAACGGCCAUUCCCGCCAUAUUCAUUUCCAAUUUACUUAAAUACCCUCUCCCUAACAGAUUUUUAACUACCAUAAUCAACCGUCUCUCACUUCCUCUCACCGCCAUGGCAGCGAACAUCUUCAUAUUGCUCCUCCUUGGUGUGGCGGCGCAGCCACUUCCACCAGCACCCCAGCAACCAGGCUGCGUGGAGGAGCUGGUGGCGUUUUCGCCUUGCCUGCCCUUUGUAUCAGACCCACCAAACAACGCCACAGACUCAGUUGCUCCACAGUGCUGCGACGUCUUCAAUUCUGCUUUCGAAUCCGGCGACGGUUACUGUUUCUGUUACAUCCUCCGGCAGCCGCGGAUCUUUGGGUUUCCGUUGAACAGAGAAAGGGUUGCUUCACUGUCUUCCUUUUGCAUGGCCAAGAACGGCGUUGCUUCUCUAGACUCGCUCUGCUCUUCAGGUUUUUCAUCUUUUCUUAAACCCAAUUGUUUAAUUCACGGAUUUCCGGAUUAAGAAUUUCAUCAGGUUCAAGGCCAUUUUAAUCUUUUGAUUAAAAGAAAAAAUAGUUAUUUAACGCUUUGAUUGAUGUAAUUAUGCAAUUCUUAAUUAGUAUUAUGCAUUAGGUGCACCAGCGCUGCCGCCAUUGCCAAGCACCACAGAUUCAGGGAUAUUGAAACCAUUCAAUUCUCGUAAGUAAAGUCCGAAUAUCUUUUCUUUUUUAUUUUUUCUCCUUUCGGAACCGAAUCGGCGGUCAAACCUUACUACCUUAGUAGUUCUCGAUCAGACUAAUUCAAUGAUCAGACUGGUUUUAAUUAAAUAAAUCAUUUAAAAAUUUAUAAAAUUUUUGAAAAGUAAAAUAUAUUAAAAAAGUAUAAAACUUGGUUCAACCGGUUUGCAGGUCAGUCAGUUCUUUCCCUUACUCUAGACUAGUGUACCAGCUGGUUCCCGUCCAACCGGCCAACCUUGCAUUUUGUUCUUCCAUGGCUGUAAUAAAAGAUUACCUAAAAGGAAAUGUUCAUUUGCAGCGUUCUUGCUUGUAGAUUGACCAAAUAUAAGCCUAAAUUAUUUGUUUUAAAGAUAGACCGGAUUUUAAAACUCGUAAAAGGCCGAUACCAAAAGCAUAUCAAGGCAAUGGCAUUAUCAGUGAUCUGUUAUUGGUGGUAGAAUCCUUAUGAAAACUAUUCUACAGGUUUAGAUAAUGAUUCAACAAGCUCACCCCCAGAAUCUGCGGUCAAGUCGCUAACUCCGCCAAGUUCCUCAGCAGAAGAAGCUGUUUUUUCUUCUGCAACAAACCAGAUUUACAAGCAUAUCACUUGGUUCCUACUUGGAAUGGUGAUUUUUCUGCUUAAUCUACAUUCAUUCUUGGUCUGACAGUAGCUAAGAUUUUCCCGAUUUCAUUCGAUUAUACUUACUGAUACGAUAAACACUUUGUAAUCAGCAAAAUGAUAUGAUGGAAAGAGUUUUAUUAGCAGAAAAACAUCAUCAAAAACAGAUGGUAACAGUGUACGAAGAUCUCUCCUCUUUUCGUUUGCUUUUACCACUAUGCCGUCGUACUGUCUCUUGAAGUGAACAGGUAAGUUCAUCACAUUCGCUACUGUGAAAACAAAAGCAUAAAAAAGCAAAAGAAUCAUUGUAGGAUGCGUGUAUUUCAUUUCCACCCAUCGGACCACUCAGCUUCAUCCGUGAAAGGAAUGAGAUUUCCAAUUUCCUUGGUAUCUUCACCCCACAUUUCAGCAAUGCUGUUUUCAUCAUCGACCCGACAAUCCUCCGGAGUUGAAACUUCUGCAUCAUCUUCAUACUCUUGCCUUUCAGGCAGAGCACAACCCAGGUAAGAGUUAUGAUCGGCACAACGCCAUAUAAGCUGACUCCAGUAAGGGUCCUGCCAUUCAUUUAUUAUCAAUGAUUAAAAGCCUUUGGUUGUAGACAUUAGAUGAUAAUCACAAGUGAAGAUUGGUACCUUGGAAAUUAUGUGAGGAUUUCCAACAAUAACAAGUAAAGCUAUGGCGCGAGUAACCGCCACAUUAAACCUUCUAGGAUUGCUCAAAAACCCGAGACAGUGGGUUCUGUCGAACUCAUUGUGUUUGAUUGUUGAUCGGACGGUAGAUAUAACGAUAACUUUUCGUUCUUGGCCUUGAAAUUGUUCGACGGUGCCAACCUUGACAUCUGGUAUGUCGAGAUUCUCGAAGGCCUUCAUUAGUUUAAGGACUUGCUGCCUAUAGGGGGUUAUCACCCCGAUAUCUUUCUCGUUCAGAAUCCCACUUGCUGUCAAACUACUAACAAUUUCUACAACCUUGCUGGCUUCAAUCCGAUUGAACCAUGACGGAUUACUUCCUUCCCUCUCAUCACAACCUUGUAUACCAAAGAAAAAAACAGGGUAGUCCUUAUUAGGAAGAAACUUUACUGAGUUCAAUAAUGAACCUAUGUCAUCUUUGCAAGGGAUCAAUUCAUCAUUGUAGAAGAGAAGUGAAGGGAGAUAGAGGAUCUCCGGGUGACAUCGAUAGUUUCUAACCAGUUUUGUCACAUAGUUUUCAUUGCCAUUAGAAUAAAACUCGUGUUCAAACAACCUUUCUAAGUAUGACUUCCCCAGUCCAAAAUUCUCGGCUUCUUUGGAGUAUAUAACUGGACCUAACUGCUUUGGAUCCCCAGCAAGAACAACAACAGUCUCUCUUCGGCAAAGGUUCGCUACAGGGAUCAUGCUUUCUGGCUCUGAAGCUUGACCUGACUCAUCCAAGAAAAUAUGAGAGAAAUGGCCUUUACCAACACUUUCUGCAUACAGAAGGGAGGAACUCAUGUAAGUUGAGAUGAUGAUUCUGUAGCAGGCGAGAACACUAAGUGGAGGACAUUUGAAAACAAGCUCAUCAAAGAAGCAAAACCGGAGAAAAUCCGGGUUGACGUCGUAAUAUGGUCGUGUAGCUGCAUUUAGUCUGAAUAUUUCAUUCUCUUUAAUCUCAACAGACUCCUCAUUAAGGAGUCUCUCUAGUAUGAAAUCAGCCGCGCUAUUUGAAGGUGCACACACAAGAAUUCGAGAAGAUUUUUGGGUUGAGUAGAGCUGGAGGAUUGCCUCCACUAUUGUCAUGGUCUUCCCUGUACCUGGUGGCCCAAAAAUCACAUAAGGAGGUCCUCCUUUGCAGCCAAGGAUCAUCUCAAUUGAACACAUCUGCUCCUCGUUAAGUGUACAACAUAUGGGCACUAGUGGAGUGGUUUCAAUCACCCUACUUUUGGGUGACCCAGAUGGAAAAAGGAGACUUACAUUUAGGCUUUUUGCUGCAUCAAUGGCCUGGUAUUGCCUCCGCAUAUUGAUUCGGUUAUAGGUGAACUGCACAUUAUAAAGAUUCUCAUCUAUGUGAUUCGAGUGAAAUUCUGGUGCAAACUUCAAGUACACUUCAUCAGCUUCUACCCGAUGGAUACAACCCUGAAAAUCACCACAUUCACUUGUCAGAAAGACAGAAAUUCUCCAAAAGAAAUAGAGGCCAUGGGACUGGAAAGACUAAAAUGAACACAAGGGAAAGAGUAUACAACAGAAGAUACCGAGAUAAAUUUAAGCCAAAGAGGAAGUACUUCAAUGAUAAAAGGAUAAAGCAUAUAGUAUUUUUCGUGUAAAGCAGACCUCAUAAACUCUGUCUGAUCCACUAGCAUCUUCACAUGCAAGUUUAGCAAAAAUAUGAUCUCCAUGGACAAGGGAAGGCCUUUUUUCAGCGAGCCCAGGGACCUGAAGUGAUAAAUAAUUCCCUCUCUUCCUCAUGUUGAUAUUCUCCAUGUUAUAGGCCCUCAUGUCCUCCUGAAGCCAAAAAAAGGGAAUUUCUCAGUUUUGUAACACGAAUAUCAACCAUCUAAGCUACCGAAGGUUAGAAUUACCUCGAGUUGUAACUCUUCCAAGAUUAAGAGAUGUUUGAAGUAAGAUACAUAAUUAUCCCUUGUAAGACCUGCUUUAAUAGCAUCAGUAGUCUGCUUAUUCUCAACCAGUUCUCUAAUAUCCUUCGGAAUGUCAUAUGGGAGAAGCCUGUUUCGAACACCUCGACCCAUUGCCCUUACCGGGCGUGGCCCUGUAACAAAUUCAUCCACUGGAAAUUGCUUCUUUCUUUGAGCUCUGGAAUAUGGCUUCUUAGAAGCCAAAGAUUGUGAGAUCUUAUCUUCAACCAAGAGAAAGACCAUUCUUUCCAAUCUUUCACCCUCCACAUCAAAAUGCACUAUGGUAGUAUGCAACCCAAUUUCCUUUGCUUUGCAAGACAACCAAAUGGUUAAAGUCUCUCCAGGCUGUAUCAUUCGGUCCUCUAAAUCGAAAAGCUCGACAAACCCUUGGCUCAUAUCGUCUUCAGAAUUUGCCGAUGGGGGUUUCAUCAAAGAAAGAACGAAAGAAUCCUUAGGCGUUGAUGCGUAAAUUUUAGUCCACAACUCAACCGGUUCACUAGUGGUGUUUUCGAUACUGAUCAAAUCAAAUGCAGUUGCUCCCACGAAUACAGAUUGAGGAUUCCCUUUCGAAAAUGGGAAUGGUGCAGAAAUUAUGAGAGGACCCCCCUCAUGAUUGUAAUCACAAACAGAUUUGUUGUUUGCAUAAUCGAUGAAAUUGAUUUCGCGUUUGUCCCCGAUGACCGAAUACUCAUCAUCGGAUUUGUCACCAACUGUUCCCAUCACUAACUAGAAAGGGAAGAACUGCUUUGCAACAAAAUCCACAAAUAUGCAAUCAUUAAAAAACCCUUAUACAAGCAGGAACACACUUGUAAGAUACAGUACACCACCAUAUAUAUAUACCGAUAAAAUAACACUUUUAAACACGAUUAUGACGCAACAAAAUACACGAAAUUAACACGAAUGCAUAAAUAAAGCAGGAUGAUAAUCAAGUUUAAGCAUUUUCAAAUGUCAUAAAAAAAAAGAGAAAAAGAAACCCAGCAUUUCAAUUUUUGCAAUGCAACAUAAUACAAUCAUAGAUAGAUAGAUAGUACAAUACGUGAAUCAUAGGCAAUAACGAUCAUUUAAAAUUCAUGAUCAAAAGCAAAAACAAGGUCACAAAGCAGAAAUUAACAAAACCCAGAAACAAGAUAGUGACAAUGUAGAAAAAAUUAGAAAAAAAUAUUAUUCAAAUUCACUGUGCCAAAAUUAUAAACAUUUAGAGUACGUUAGCAUGAACUACUCUAUGGGUAAAAAAAAAAAAAAGGAAAAAGAACUCACCUCAGUGAAUCAUAAACCAAAGCUAGAAACUACCAUAUGAAUGAGAGGUUUUCCUUUUUUUUAAAUGCAGAGAAAUCAAAUGAACCUUGAAUUCAGUUUUUUAAAGUUUUUUAAUUAAAAUCAAAUGAAAGAGACAAUUUUUAAAGAAAAUAAAAAUAAUAUGACCCAUCACAAUCAGCAGAUUUUGCCCUACAAGCUGCAAAUAAAAAAAAAAACACAUAGGUUCAUAUAUUUCAUUUUUUUGGCAAAAACAGGGAAUUCAUAAACAGACGAGGAAGUUAGUUUCACUUAUCUAUCACUUAAAAUAAAGUAUAAAAAAUGUAAAUUUUAAUUAAAAAUGGUAUAAACAAUUUAGAUAUUAAAGGUUUAAUUUUUCUUUCAAUCCCUCUAGUUUUUAGUUUUUUUUAAUUUAAUCCCUUUAUUUAUUGGAUUUAAAUUAACUUCAACAAAAAUAAAUUAAAGUUGUUAUUAAUUUAAUUUUAAUUUUUAAAUCAAAUAAGAUACUAAAAAGAGAAUGAUUAAAUUUUAAAAAUAUUGAUAAUGGGGAAAUUGAGAGUACAAUUAGAAUUAGGGGUGAGAGUUCGAUCGAAUCAAGUGAAAAAAUUUUGAGUUAAUCAAGUUCACAAGUCCUAUUUUAUCAUCUUAACUCAAUUUAAAUUUUUUCAAAUAUAGUCAAAUUGAGUGAAAUUAUUCAAGUUAAAUUAAAAAAAUUAAACAUGUUAAAUAAAAAUAUUGUUACAGAAUGACUAAUUUUAUGUUAGAGCAUAUAAAUUUGAAACCAUAUAUAUUUGAAAUAAUUUUCAAAGCAAAAUAAUAAUAAUAAUAAGAUACUUGAGUAUGAUAAAUUUGAAUCAUUAAUUAGGUCUCUAAAAUUAUUAUUUUAUAAAAUUUUUAGAAUUUUUUAAAACUUUUAUAAUUUUUUAAAAAAUAUAAAAUUUGAAAUUUUUAUAAAUAUUUUGAAUUAUUUUGUAAUUUUUGUUGAGAGAAAAGCCAAUUUAUUUAUUUCCAAAGUUGAUAGGGACUAAAAGGUAUUUACACCAUUAUUCGAAUUGUGAAAUUCAACUAACUUGAACUCAAAAUUUGAAUCGAGUUAUUCGUGUUAAUGCAAAUCAUUUAAAAUUCAAAAUUAACUCGAUUCAAUUAAUUUGAAAUUUAAAAUUCUUUUCGAUAUUUUUAAAUACCCUGAUUCAAACUAUUAAAAAGGAACUCAUAAAUAUAGUUGAAAAAAUUUACAGAGAAAAUUUCUUCUUACAUAUUUUUAUUUAUUCUUACUAAUAAAUCCCAUUGGCUUAUAUGACUCUUUUAGCCAAUUGGCUUUCUCAGUGAUAGAGACAGUUAAUUUCCAUUUUGAUGAAUGUAUUAACUAAUAAUUAGAACUGACGUGGCUAAACCCUAUUGGUUAUUAUGACACUCACCAAUUGGCUUGUGAAGGGGUCCAAAAAAUUUUCUAUUUUUUAGUAAUGAAAUUAAAAUAAAAUGAGUUUUAAAUUUUCUUUGAUUUUUAAUUGUAUCUAUUUUUUUGUAGGGGAAAUUUAUAGGAGUUUCUCUCCUAGUUUUUUUUAAUAAAUAAAUUUUCUUUUUAAUUUUGUUCUUUCAUGAAAUUGAAAUCUUUUUAAAAACCGAAUUCAUCCAAUCCGCUCCUAUUCCUGUUGUGAUCUUAACAUAAAUAGUGAGACAAAUAACAUGCCAAAGCUUCUCUACCUUUAUGCAAUAAUCCUUUGUCUACCAAGUCCGGGGCGUAGUUAGGGGCUUCCCUCCUUUAAAUUUUUUUAAAUUUUAAAUUAGUAAAGAUAAAAUUAUAUUUUAAUCCUCUAAAAUUGAUAAAAAUUUUUAUUUAAUUCUUUAAAAAUUAUAAAGAUAUAGGUUGUGAAAUUAUAUUUUUACUAUUAUAAAAAUUACAAUUUAAUUUUGACCCUCCCUAAAAUAAUUUUCUGGCUUCGUUCCUGACCAAGACCCUUAUAAGAUUCCAAUUAUCAAAAAUUAAAUUUCAGCCCCUCAAAAACUCGGUACUUUAUUAUUGGAUUCAGAUAUGAAAUAUGCAUAUAUUAUUCUACUAGCUAAGAUAUAUCAAAGCAAGUUAAAAAGGAAUAAAUCUUAAAAAAUACAUACCAGAAUGAGGGAGCUAUAUAACCUUUCAGGGAGAUCCUUGGAAGAGAUGAUCUUCAAAUAUACAAAAAAAAGGGUUGUUUUUUUCUUUUUCUUUUAACACCUGGGUAAUUAGCAUAGAAGUUUAAUAUAUGUAAGUGAUAUUUUCGAGCGCGUGAAAAUAAUCAAUUUAUAUAGAAAGCGAGAAACUUAAUUUGGUAUGUCCAGUAAGUAACCAAAAGUAAUAUAAAUGAAUAAAUUUAGAAUAUUGGGAUAUUUUUAUAAUUAAAAUAUAAAUUUAAAUGAUUUUAAAUAUGGGUUGUUGAAGCCUCCUCAUUUUAAAAUAUUAAUAAAAUUAUUUGUAUAUGUAAUAUAUAACUGUAAAAAUUAUAUUAUAUUGAUAAUAAUGUUAUUAAUAAUUUGUAAAAAAAUUUGAAUCUAAUUAUUUUAAACUUUAAAUUUUUUUUAUGUGAAUCUAUAAUUUCAAAAUAACAAUUGAAUAAUCUAUUUUAUCUAAUUUAAUAAAUAAAAAUGUGUGACAAUCCUUUUCUUUUACCAAUAAAUUAAUAGAACUCAAAUAUAAAAAAUAUGCUACUAAGAGAUUAGAAACAUAAUUCAAAGAUCUUUUGCUCUCCAUAAAAAAUUUCCAUCUCAAAAUACAUUGGUUAAGAUGUGGCAGCCACAAAUUGCUGUACUCUUUUGAAAGUUUAAAUGUUAACUUCUUUAUUUUUAUUUUGAACAACUUUUAUUUAAAAAUAAUAAUUUUUCUAUUUUUCAAAUUUUAAAGUUCAAGUCUAACCAUUAAUAUUAAUAUUUUUAAAAUUCAAAUUAAUUAUAUCUUUUUUUUUAAAUUAUAUGGCUAUCAAGUAAGUUUUUUUUUAUUUCAUAAUAUCACACUAACAAAUUUUAAAAAAAAAGUUAAACAAUAUUUAAUAGUAGAAUUUGAAUUGUGAAAUCUGAAAGGUAAAAAAACUAAAUUCCUGAAAAAAUACAAAGCUUAAAUUUCAAUUUUUUGAGAAGUAUAGAGACUAAUGGCAUACUUUAAUCAAAUACAGUAUCCCUACAUCCCCAGAUUUCGAACACCAUCACAGCAACAACUUAGUUUUUAAUAUAAAAGGUUUGGCUGCUCAAGUCAAACAUACUGUUUCCUGUCGUUAAAAUGCAAAUUAAAACAUUCAUUAUGAAAGAGCAAUCAAGGAUAAAAAUCUUUCAAGCUGAAGCAACUGCAGCAUCCUUGACCGAUUCACGCCAGGCAUACUGCCUCGCUCCAUCUUUGUCGACGAUCUUGAUAACAAAGUUUGGAGGUGCCACAACAAGUCGUGACCUUAUCUCCAUUAUGCAUUUAUCUACCAAGUCGAUGGCUUCUUCCACAGUCAUGCCGCUGUGGUAGUGCCUGUCCAUCAUAGAGAGAGAAAAAUAGGAUCCGUACCCGAAUGCUCCCUUAUCAACUUUGUGAAGUGUAGCGAUGUAGUCAAUGUAGUAAAGUGAGGGGCCUGUCUCUUUGUCGUAGCCAGCAAGAAGAAUGUUCACGAAGUAUGGGUUCUAUAAAAAACCAAAUGCCAUUGUUAAUAAUAAUGAUAGUAAGACGAACACGCGGGUGAGCAGAGACCUUAAUUCAGCAUUCUCAUGUCAGACAGGACAAGAAAUAAAUAAUAAUAAUAAACUCACUGCUAGAAGGAAAAUAUGCAUAGGCAACCUAAUAAGGAACUUCAAAACUAGAUUUGCAAGAUCCAAGAACCGCAAAGACCAAUAAGUGCAUUGAGCAUCAAGCAUGGCAGCAACAAAGAUCAACAGAGAUUUGAAAAGAAACUACAUGUGCCAAGAGUCAUCAUCGGAACUCCAAAAAAAAAACACAGAGUAUUGUAAUUGUACUUUCAAAAUUCCUUGGCCUUAUUCUAAUCUGAUCUUCCUAUCCAAAACAACAGCAAUUAAUCCAUAAAGCUUGACAAGAAGUUCUAUCAGAAACUACACCUUAAAUUGAAAUAAAAUGUCAUAUGGUAAUGGUCUCGUGCCAUAAAAGCAUCAACUCCUUUUUGAAUCCUAUAACAAGCUUACAUAUUUCAUUAUAAAUUUCAAGCUCAAAAAAUUUUAGUUCGAGCAAGCACAGCUGAUUGUCUAGUGGAAAUCUGAAGGAAUAUUUUCCUAGAUUGUUUAAUACAAGAUGUAACCCAUCUUUUCUCGGCUGAAAAGAAUACCUUUACAGGAAUCUCAUUCAAAAACAUAUGGAAUGGGAAACCACUAACUAGAAGACCCACAAACCAGACACAAAAUCUCAGUGAAGGUACCACUAGUAUUGCCAAGGGAUGGACCUAGGCAUUCCAUCUUAGCGUCAAAAGAUAAAAGAGCCUCAGAUCUCUUCAGGCCAGGUGCAUUUGAUCAGGCACAUGCUUGAUGUGCAUAAGCAUACUUUUAAAGUUCCCUUUAAUUUAACUUUUUUUAAAAAACAUUUUCACUGGAUAUACAUUUAUUAGUAAGAAAAGGGAAUUAAUCAAGGGCUAAGAUCCACUCCAUUACUUUUUCAUCCAUUAAUAUCCAAUACAAUGAUUAUCACCAUUCAAAUGGUAGGACCCAUCUAUUAAAUGUGAAAAUCAACUUGUGAAUGAUGAUUAAACGUGCAUUGGAUAUUAAUAGAUGAAAAAGUAAUUGAGUGGAGCCAAACCCAUAAAUCAAAACCUCUACUUCCCAGUAUUGGAGAACUCGACAACAAAUAUGGGACCGUAAGGGAAUCAAGCAUAUUGGCCAAUAAAAAUAAAAGAAAGCUUUGCAUGUUUUAUAGAUAAAUUGCAUCAAUCUUUAGAGUUUAUUAUCAUAAUUACAUGCCUCAAGCUUUAUAUAUACACAAAGACAUAAAAUUGCGCCUUUACUCAGUCAAGUGCUUUUUUUGUGCUUUGUGUCUUGGGCAAUAUAAGGGUUCUAACACUAGAGUGCCCCAUGUGCUCUUGACAACACUGGGUAGAGAUAGAAGGCCAAAUAAAACCUUGAAGCCAAGAUGAAUAAGACAGUCUCUUAGUGAGGUAGCAUCCAAACUUUGCACCAAAAAACAAAUCCACAGGUUAACACUAAAUGUUUAAGUAAGCAAAGGAAAUGAUAGCCCAGCAACUUCAAAACUUCCUGUGGUUUAGCUAAGCACUCAAUAACUCAGCUGGCCCCAAAAGUGGUUACCAUCACCCAGGAAUCCCAAAAAAAAAAUCGGCUUUAACAUAACAUAUGCUUAUCUUAGGUACUAGUUCAAUGUCCUAUGCUGUAAAUCAAGCAAAGAAGUGAUUGCAAUCGGUUCUGGUAAAAGAGGGACCAAAGCACAUAUCAAGCUACACCAAUCGUCGCACAUUUCAGGGCAUGGUAAAGCUAUAUCAAACCACUUUGCUUCCAAUUCUAACUCAUCUAACCCUUCCAGCAUUGCUCUAUACAAAUAGUUUCCAAACCGGAAGCUUCUUCAAUUAUCGAAUAUCACCAUAAUGAGAAAUCAAGCAGAGGUAAAACACAGAUUAUAGCUAAUAUUUCAAUCCCAACGCACAAUACAUCAUUUGAAACUAGUGCAAACCCUAACAAAUAUUGUAUUCCACAUAGAUUCAUUACUCUUCGCCGGUAAAAUUUCCACAAGCAAGUAAAUUGCAAUUAAAGAGCAUAACCCUUAAUUGAAACUAUAUAAUUGAAACUAUAUAUAUGACUAGUAUCGAUACCUUCCUUAAUGCAGUGGCAAGCUCACCGCGAGUGAAAUUGGCAGCGGCGGCAGUUGUCAAAGGAAUACCAUUGCGAAACUGAUACAAAGCCACGUUUUUCUGUAUAUACUCCGUGAAUUGCACUCUAGGGAAAAGGAAAAAAGGUUAUAUAGGAGGAAAAGAAAACAGGGAAGUAUAUACGUAGAUUUAUAGGGAGAGAAAGAAAAAGGGGGAAACCUGUCACCGGAUUCACCGCUGGCGGCGAUGAGUUUGUGAGAAUCGAGGACCAUGAUCUUGUCUUCGUUGGAUUUGUGGACGAGGAUGCUGUGAACCGCCGAUGUGUCCGCCGCCACUACGGCAAAGCCAUUGCCUACGAAGCCGAACACGCACUCCAUUUUCACUUUUUUUUUGAGGUUUGAUUUUGAGGCUUUUGAUUUUUUUUUUUUUAAAGCUAAUAUAAGUUAGUAGAACUGCCUUGAAGAAAAAGUUGUUCUUAGAGUGGGAAAAUGGGGAAUUUUGGGGAAAGAUCGAGGGCUAUUUUGUCAUAGAAAGAACACUUGGUUUAUUGUAACACGCGGUGCUAUUUGCAAGGUCGGAUUAAGACUCGAUUUUAAAAAGAUCCCAAGCCUAGCUCGACUAAGCGAAUUCAAAAUUUUUAUAUUCUUUUUUUAAAAAAAUAAUAAAAUAAUAAAAUAUAUUUAUAUUUAUAUAUUUUAUAAUUAAAUUUAAAUGAAGAUAUUUAAAAAUCAUUCUAUUAACAAUAAAUAUAUUACUAUAGUUUUCAACAAGUAGCAUCUUAUAUUUCAUCAAUAAUACAUAAACUUAGGAAACUUAUAUCCUGAUGUUGUCAACUUCAAGUAUCAGUCAUUUGUUCCAGCCUAGUUUUUAAACCUUCAUAGACACAACCCCAUAACUCCAAGCUCCAAUGCUACGCUGCGUGAGAAGCCCAUGAUCCAAGUUCCAUUUCUGUCUCGAAGCAAGCCUCCAAUUACAGCCAUCCAUAUUCAAUUUGGUCCAGCAAAUCUUUCUUCUCGCCACCCUCCAAAGUGUACUUGCCUAGAUCCAGCAUUAAAAUCACCUGAACUGACAAUAAUGGAGUUCCUUUGUUCCCAGAUUUUCCAUACAAUAAUGUGCAUUGUUAAACAAUAGCCCAUGCAGUCUUUAAAUAAAACCAACUUUAAUCUGAAUUUUAUCACUCUAAAUGUAAUCUAUCUGAUUAUUUAUUUAUGUACUUCACUCACUCAUAUUUUAUUUUAAUAAAAGGGAAAACACAAGAUUAUGUUAAAGGAAAAAGUAAAGAUUUCCCUCUUAUUUUAUUCCUUAAAACCAAAGGACUCCAAAACACACAACAAAACAAGGCUCUUCCUCUUUACAUAGGCCACCCUUAUUUUAUUCCACCAUUACAUGCCUUACAAAACUACUACUUAGAACAAGCGUGCAAAGUCCAGGAACGGCGAUAAGGGGUUAUUACUUCCCCUCCUCUCAUCAAAUCCACGCCGACUCUGUCCAGACACGAAGUAAGAUUCUUGCGGGUUGUUGUUGAAUACCUCAUCCACCAACCUUGACUCCACCCCAAACGCCAGCUCCUUGGCCUGGCGAUCCCAUUGUCUCACAUUGUUGGUUUUCCCAGCCACGAAGAUCCUCUUGUUGUCUUGGCCGUUGUAGAGUCCGAACCCGAGCAAUCCUAGGUCCUCGUUUUGGGAGGCAACGAAUGUGACUGGAUGGCCUGCUGGGACUACAAAUAGGUCACCGGUUGAUAACUGGGCUCUCACUCUCUUGUAUUGUCCACUUCUCCUUUCAACUUCUUGUUCUUCUUGUUCUUCUUCCUCUCGGGAGGACCAGUGUGAGCUCUGCCUAGAAAGGUGAGGGCAGACCAUUUCGACGUGGCCGUUUCCUUCG
rnacentral:lncRNA from 1 species